rnacentral:rRNA from 1 species
AGUGAACGCUGGCGGUAGGCCUAACACAUGCAAGUCGAACGGCAGCACAGUAAGAGCUUGCUCUUACGGGUGGCGAGUGGCGGACGGGUGAGGAAUACAUCGGAAUCUACUUUUUCGUGGGGGAUAACGUAGGGAAACUUACGCUAAUACCGCAUACGACCUACGGGUGAAAGCAGGGGAUCUUCGGACCUUGCGCGAUUGAAUGAGCCGAUGUCGGAUUAGCUAGUUGGCGGGGUAAAGGCCCACCAAGGCGACGAUCCGUAGCUGGACUGAGAGGAUGAUCAGCAACACUGGAACUGAGACACGGUCCAGACUCCUACGGGAGGCAGCGGUGGGAAUAUUGGACAAUGGGCGCAAGCCUGAUCCAGCCAUACCGCGUGGGUGAAGAAGGCCUUCGGGUUGUAAAGCCCUUUUGUUGGGAAAGAAAAGCAGCAGGUUAAUACCCCGCUGUUCUGACGGUACCCAAAGAAUAAGCACCGGCUAACUUCGUG